rnacentral:rRNA from 1 species
CCUACGGGAGGCAGCAGUGAGGAAUAUUGGUCAAUGGGCGUAAGCCUGAACCAGCCAAGUCGCGUGAGGGAUGAAGGUUCAAUGGAUCGUAAACCUCUUUUAUAAGGGAAUAAAGUGCGGGACGCGUCCCGUUAUGUAUGUACCUGAAGAAUAAGGAUCGGCUAACUCCGUGCCAGCAGCCGCGGUAAUACGGAGGAUGCGAGCGUUAUCCGGAUUUAUUGGGUUUAAAGGGUGCGUAGGCGGCCUUUUAAGUCAGCGGUGAAAGGCUGGGGCUCAACCAUCGAAUUGCCGUUGAAACUGGGAGGAUUGAGUAGGAGAGAGGCAGGCGGAAUGCGUGGUGUAGCGGUGAAAUGCAUAGAUAUCGCGCAGAACCCCGAUUGCGAAGGCAGCCUGCCAGGCCAUGACUGACGCUGAUGCACGAAAGCGUGGGGAUCGAACAGGAUUAGAUACCCUUGUAGUC